rnacentral:rRNA from 1 species
CGUUACUUCCCUGCGUUAAGUAUAGCGAAACUUACUUUUUUAACAAAUUCAUGCUUGCCGGGCAACUACGUCUCAAGAGGUAAAAGUCGAAGUACUUGGCGGUCUAGUGAUUAACCAGCCUGUGAGACUUGACGGUUAAUCCGAUAGUCCGCGUAAAUUCUACUCUUUCUUGGAUUCAUCAGUCGGUGUAUGGCCGCCGCAGUGCUUUCUGUAAGGGAGUAGCGAGAUCCAUGCCCAUGUGAGUAUACAUGUAGGCAUAUUAGUGGAGCAAGACAGGUCGUCAUGCCGCCCAUGAAGGAGGCUUAGUUGAGUCACAUUGAUUAAAUCAAGCGGAACCGAGGAAGGAAGUAGCCCGGGGAAGAAGGAAUGGGUAGUAAGAAGAGAAUAAUUCGCUCUUCCGAAUCGUGAACUCCUAGGCGUACAAAUCGCCC